UAGGUAUACCGCCUUCGUUGCCAAACAU
rnacentral:sRNA from 1 species